GAAAUGCGAUAAGUAAUGUGAAUUGCAGAAUUCAGUGAAUCAUCGAAUCUUUGAACGCACAUUGCGCCCGCCAUCUUGGCGGGCAUGCCUGUCUGAGCGUCAUUUCAACCCCCAAGCACCGCUUGGUGUUGGGGCACUACGGGCAACCGUAGGCCCUGAAAACUAGUGGCGGACUCGCUGAAGGUCCGGGCGUAGUAGUAAUAUCUCGCCCGCGGUCCCCAGCGCGCUCCGGCCGUUAAACUCCCCAAUCUUACAGAAGGUUGACCUCAGAUCAGGUAGGAAUACCCGCUGAACUUAA
rnacentral:misc_RNA from 1 species